rnacentral:rRNA from 1 species
AGCAGCCGCGGCAAUUCCAGCUCCAAUAGCGUAUAUUAAAGUUGUUGCAGUUAAAAAGCUCGUAGUUGAAUUUCGGGGUUAGUAGGUUGGUCAUGCCUCCGGUAUGUACUGAUCUCACUGAUUCCUCCCUCCUUAUGAACCGUAAUGCCAUUAAUUUGGUGUUGCGGGGAAUUUGGACUGUUACUUUGAAAAAAUUAGAGUGUUUAAAGCAAGCUAACGCUUGAAUACAUUAGCAUGGAAUAAUGAAAUAGGACGUUCGAUCUUAUUUUGUUGGUUUCUAGGAUUGACGUAAUGAUUAAUAGGGAUAGUUGGGGGCAUUAGUAUUCAAUUGUCAGAGGUGAAAUUCUUGGAUUUAUUGAAGACUAACUACUGCGAAAGCAUUUGCCAAGGAUGUUUUCAUUAAUCAAGAACGAAAGUUAGGGGAUCGAAGACGAUCAGAUACCGUCGUAGUCUUAACCAUAAACUAUGCCGACUAGGGAUCGGAUGAUGUUAAUUUUUAAUGACUCAUUCGGCGCCUUAC